UGUUGUGAAGUGUCCCCUCCUUGAGUUUGAAGAAGUGGACUUAUCUCCUACCAUACCUCCCAGCAUCUCACGCUUUCUUGGAUCCAGAAGCACUGAGAGUGACACUCAUUCUGCCGUCCUCACACCAGGCUCAAUCCCACACUCAGACCUGCUGAUCCUCACAUCUUCCAUACAGUUGGUAGAGUGCUGCCUGAUACUCAAGGUGGCGGUAGUCAACCACUAACCUGGUGAGAGGCGUCAUGCAGCAGCAGGAGAAGAAGAAGAAGAACCAGGAAGUAGAUUGAAUCGUUUGUUUAUAAUGGUGCUGAUAUUUAACAUGAUCAAGGGAAAGCUCUCCUAUUGACUGACUUGUGUGUGCGGAGAUUAAUCGCAGUAACCCUACAGAAAUGCUGCAUAACAACGGUGAUCACACUGAUGAUGGUGACUUCACCUGGGUGUCAGUGUGCCCCAGAGGCCUCUGGAAAGUCCAGAAAACUCCAACAGGAGAGAGGAGUCAGCAGGCUGUCACCAAUGCUGAUGCAUCACUCAGUCACAGUCCGGGGAUAGGUUCGCUUUGCAGAGUACGGGUGCGACUCAAAGCUAACACGGAUGAAGCAGAUAGUGUAGCAUCAGAAAACAGGAAUGAGGAACCUGACCAGUCGCUCAGUGAGAUCACAGAUGCAGAAGCCACAGCAUUCCUGAGGUGUCCAGACUCUGUGCUGCAGGUCCCAUUGGGUGACUGGAUAACACUGAGGCUUGGAGAGGGUCAGUGUGAUAUCACAGAAGCAUGUUGGAAGAGAUGAGGGCAGGAGAGAAAUGUGAGACGCUGAUUUCUCCAAUGGAAAAUGCACCUCAUAAGAAAAACGCACCUCUGUGUGCCACAGUUGAACUUGGAGCUUUCACACCUGGCAAGGAAACCUGGGAGAUGUCUCCAGGAGAAAAGUUGGAGUGGGUGAAGUUACACAAAGACAGAGGUGGAGUGAGAUUCAGGAGCGGAGAUAUAUGGGGAGCUGCAGACAGCUACAGCCGGUCCCUGAAGAUACUCAUCACUCUCUACAAUCACAGAGAGGCAGAGAAGAAAGAACAAGAGCAAGAAGUGGAGGGGCAGAGAGACACAGACUCUAGUGAUAAAACACAGCAUCUGGAGUUCAAACCACCAAAGCAGAGCUCCACUCAAACCUUUCCCUGUGCCAGCUCAAACGAACCAACCACAGCGGGCUAAAGCCAGUGCAGCUAAGGCUACUCAGCUGGAACCAGGUGUGCUAAAGCCUGGUACCGACUGGGCCAAGCCUGCCAGAUGGUUAAUGAGUUGGAGGAGGCCAAGCAGGCAUUUCGGAAACUGCUGGAGCUACAGCCGGAAUCGACUGCUGCCUUGAAGGCACUGAAAAACAUAUCAAAUAAAGAGAAGGAGACAAACACACAGUUGGGACUCAGACUCAGCAAAAUGUUCAGCUGAACUUCUAAUAAUAUUCAUUUAUUAUCAGAAUUUGUCUGUAACUGGGGCACUGGUGGCCUAGCGGUCUAAGCGCCCCAUGUAUAGAGGCUACAGUCCUCGUAGCAGAGGUCGCCGGUUUGAGUCCCGGCUGGUCGAGCAUUCGCUGCAUGUCUUCCCCUACGCUCUACUCCCCACAUUUCCUGUCUCUCUGCAGCUGUCCUAUCAAUUAAAGGCAAAAGCGCCCAAAAAUAUAACUUUAAAAAAAAAAAAUUGUCUGUAACGGUGAUACUUAUUGAUCUUUUUUCCCCAAUUAAAUGGACGUGCUUCAACAUCCACUCAGCUCA